rnacentral:rRNA from 1 species
GACGAACGCUGGCGGCGUGCCUAAUACAUGCAAGUUGAACGCUUCUUUCUUAUCGAACUUCGGUUCACCAAGAAAGAAGAGUAGCGAACGGGUGAGUAACACGUGGGUAACCUGCCCAUCAGCGGGGGAUAACACUUGGAAACAGGUGCUAAUACCGCAUAAUACUUUUUCUCUCAUGAGUGAAAGUUGAAAGGCGCUUUUGCGUCACUGAUGGAUGGACCCGCGGUGCAUUAGCUAGUUGGUAGGGUAACGGCCUACCAAGGCAACGAUGCAUAGCCGACCUGAGAGGGUGAUCGGCCACACUGGGACUGAGACACGGCCCAGACUCCUACGGGAGGCAGCAGUAGGGAAUCUUCGGCAAUGGACGAAAGUCUGACCAAGCAACGCCGCGUGAGUGAAGAAGGUUUUCGGAUCGUAAAACUCUGUUGUUAGAGAAGAACAAGGAUGAGAAGAGAAUGUUCAUCCCUUGACGGUAUCUAACCAGAAAGCCACGGCUAACUACGUGCCAGCAGCCGCCGUAA